CAAAAAGAAGAUAGGAAACAUAAGAAGGAGGGUGGAACCAGCUCUUAUAGAACCACGUAGUGAACGAUGUGUCCAAUCAAGUUACAUGAAGACUUUCACAGCUAGCCAGAGCCCACCUAUAUAGCUGAACUGUAUUUCUAGGCUCCUAGGGUAAAAUAAGUAAAUAUAGACGUGGCAGAGGCCGUUUAACAGCAAAUAUCUCAGGAGAUUUUAUGCACCACGUGGAACAAUCCAUCCCAUGGGGACAGCGAAUGUGUCAGAUCAACUGGACUCAGAGAAAAAUUCUCAGGCUAAAUCCAUUCCAUUUGGCUGAAGGAAGAGGCCAGACAAUAUCCGACACGACUUCCCUCCCCCUGGCCACCAGAGAGCUGAGAGAUGAGCUCCAGAAUUUUGCCAACAAAAGACUGGAACUGAAACAACCACCUGUGAACCGAAUGUUGCAGAUUUUCUUUCUUUAUUUUUGAACAGCAAAGCCUGGGAAUGCCCAGGAAGGGGAUGAGAUCAUCUGUCUCGUCUGUGAGCGGCCCGCUCCGCAGGUCUUCUCAUUCCAUAUUACAUCAUGCUGGAAAGAGAAGCGUCUGGAUAUUCCUUACGCAAUUCGCAGGGGUGUGAAGCCAGGCAGACGCUGCUCGCUAUGUCGUGACUCCCCAACUCCGCUCGCACAGAAGCACGCACGCCCGUUACCUCUGCCAACAGUUACGAAACACCCACUGUGUG